GAGAGAACAAAGGGCGUCUUGCUUCACCAGAGGUGGCAGAGACGUUGUGCAAGGAGACGCCGGGCAUUAAUGCAAAGGAAUGUCUUUAACACAUUGUCAGCAUGUUUGUUGAACAGAAGAACACCCAGGUAUUUAAUAUUAUAGCAACCCUGCAAUAAUGUUCUGGUUCUGAUGUUUGGUGUUAUGUGUCAUUUGUUUUUAGUUAUUUAUGUACCUGUGGAAAUAACACGAUUGUAACUAAUGGUGCUCCCUCUUUCUUUUAUGUAUUUCUUACUUGAGAGUCGUGGCAGCUUUAAAUAAACAAAUCUUACCUGUGAGUCAAACACACAUCUCCUGCUUUUUCUUGAAUCUGUGAAUUGGCUUUGUAUAAGCGCAUUGAAAGAAAGGGUCUUUCCCUGGCCCUAGGGUUUUCUUCCAACCCUGUGUGUCCCGUCACAAUUAGAGCCCAGGAUCCUGUCAUAGAGGGCCAACAGCCUUCACUGUUAAACUGAAGUUUGCCUGACAGUGCUUGCUCUUGUAGCUCCUUAUAGUUCUACUUUUUAAUAGUGGAAGUUCGAAACAGAAAUUCAAAGCGCAGCUCAAACUACAGACCAAGAAAGCAGUUGUUCCUUGUUGACAUAAGUUUGCUUUUUAGUUGUUUCAUUUCACCGUUUCAUUAUUCAGAAACAGCUUAAACUACAUGGGAGGAAAGUAUGUCCUUCCACACUCUGAGGAGCUAUUUUGCAGGACUUGUUUGUGUAAUUUGACUUAUUUAUGAUGCUGUGUUGAUUCAAAAACAUUUAGACUGCAGUUGUAGGAAGUCAAAACUUUCUAGCCACACAAAGAAAAUUUACCUUUCUUCAAUUUGAACUCGGGACCUAUUUCUCAUGAGGCAUCAGCAUUUACCCGCCACACUAAGGUGGUAUUUGUUCAGGUUCGUAUGUCUCCUUUGUGUUGAAUCAAAAGCACAGGCCAGACCUCUGUGGAAGCAGCUUGGUCAUGCUAGCUUUAAAUGAAAAAUGAAAAAGUGCUUUUAGAGAGUGUAACCGUCCGGACAAGAGAAAGUGUAUGGCAGCUGGUGAAAAUUCCCAGUAUCCCCAAAAAUCCUGGAAUGAAAGGGGUUUACUUUCAAAGAGAGUGUACUGUCUGCAUGAGCAUACCAGGCUACCAAAAGCACUGGUAAAACAAACAUAUUUGACAUGUCAUUAGCUCCUGCCAUAUCAGCAGAGAUUUUCUAGCCACAGACAAUAAUACUAUUGGUUCUAUACAGUAAGUUGUUCUUGCAAAUAUUUGAGCUAUAACAGGAAACUAACUUUGAUAUAAGCUAGUACAAAGUUAAGCUAAAGGUCCACCGGGAUGUCAGCUUGCAAGUUCUGGGAUGCCUACAUUAGCUAUAGACCUUUUUCCCAGUACACGAAAGUUAGCAUUCUGCUCAUUUCCGGUGUUAGCGUGUGGUGGAGCCACUCAGCAUCGCCCAUGGACGGCCAUUAAUUUUUCACGAAAUGAACAAGCUCGCGACUCGUUUUUUUGAAAGGUAAUGUAAAAUUUUAUGCUUUGUGCUGUUUUACAAACUCCCGUUCUUCAUAAUACUGUCCGGAUUUUGUACUUUACUUUUCGGGAAUUAUGUUUAAUAGGUCAUUACUGAAGAGCAAUGGUUACCAUCAUCAGAAAAUUUCCAGACCUAUUAAACAUAAUUCCCGACAUCUCUACAUUACAUUUUCAUUGUACUUUCUGUUAGGUAAAAGAUGAUGAACAGGCCUCUUCCAGGAAGACAUCUACUGUGUGUUUAAAGGGAAUUGUGACAUUUAAUAUAAGUUGUAAAAUAAGAAUGACGAAUUGUCAAUAUUUUAGACCACUGUUUUAACCUAGAAUCUGACUGUAAAAUAUCACUAAACACUCCCAUUUCUUCACACUGGCCCUUGAAGGAUUCUUAACCAGAGAGAGCAAGUGCUGCACUUUCAAGUCAAGAAAUAAUGAAGUCUGAAAUCUGUGAUUUGGCUCCUUGAACUUCCUCAUUGCCACUUGAUUGUAAAAAUAGCUUCUUAUGCUGUUUUUCCUUCAGAAUGAAAGUGGCCAUCUCUGGUGGUUACUUGCAGCUUUGGAGAUUUUAUUUUUCCUUUUUGCACUCUACAAUCAGGACCAGAAAACAGGAAAGCAUCAAGAUAAAACAUUUUUUAUGUUGUUGAAUGUUCAGAGCUUCAGAGGAAAAUGAUGACAAUGGCUGUGGAUGCCAGCAGGAGGAGGAUAAGGGAGCAAGACGGGACGAUGCUGACACCAGAACCGAAGGGGAAAAGGGAGCCGAGACCAGGCGGCAAGAGGUCAGGACCGGAGGGUGUGGCACUGUUGCACAUGUCUCCCUCACAGCAUGUUAAAGGGGUGAUACAAC
rnacentral:lncRNA from 1 species